rnacentral:rRNA from 1 species
UGGGGAAUCUUCUGCAAUGGACGAAAGUCUGACGGAGCAACGCCGCGUGAGUGAUGACGGCCUUCGGGUUGUAAAGCUCUGUUAAUCGGGACGAAAGGCCUUCUUGCGAACAGUUAGAAGGAUUGACGGUACCGGAAUAGAAAGCCACGGCUAACUACGUGCCAGCAGCCGCGGUAAUACGUAGGUGGCAAGCGUUGUCCGGAAUUAUUGGGCGUAAAGCGCGCGCAGGCGGAUCAGUCAGUCUGUCUUAAAAGUUCGGGGCUUAACCCCGUGAUGGGAUGGAAACUGCUGAUCUAGAGUAUCGGAGAGGAAAGUGGAAUUCCUAGUGUAGCGGUGAAAUGCGUAGAUAUUAGGAAGAACACCAGUGGCGAAGGCGACUUUCUGGACGAAAACUGACGCUGAGGCGCGAAAGCCAGGGGAGCGAACGGGAUUAGAUACCCCGGUAGUCCUGGCCGUAAACGAUGGGUACUAGGUGUAGGAGGUAUCGACCCCUUCUGUGCCGGAGUUAACGCAAUAAGUACCCCGCCUGGGGAGUACGACCGCAAGGUUG